rnacentral:rRNA from 1 species
AGUGAACGCUGGCGGCGUGCCUAACACCUGCAAGUCGAACGGAGUGGCGAACGGGAGAGUAAUGUAUGGCUCAGCGGCCCUGCACUAGAGGCCAACAGUUGGAAACGGCUGCUAAUACUCUAUAGUGUAGGAUGAGGCUAUAUUGUAUCAGCUAGUUGGUGAGGUAAUGGCUCACCAAGGGUAUGACGCAUAACUGGUCUGAGAGGAUGAUCAGUCGCACUGGAACUGAGACACGGUCCAGGCUCCUACGGGAGGCAGCAGUAGGGAAUAUUGCUCAAUGGGGGAAACCCUGAAGCAGCAACGCCGCGUGGAGGAUGACACUUGUCGGAGCGUAAACUCAUUUUGUUAGGGAAGCGGUACCUAACGAAUAAGCACCGGCUAACUCCGUGCCAGCCGCCGCGGUAAUAC